rnacentral:rRNA from 1 species
UACGAAGGGGGCUAGCGUUGUUCGGAAUUACUGGGCGUAAAGCGCGCGCAGGCGGUCUUCCAAGUCAGUGGUGAAAGCCCGGAGCUCAACUCCGGAAUUGCCAUUGAAACUGUGAGACUGGAGUACGAGAGAGGUGAGUGGAAUUCCCAGUGUAGAGGUGAAAUUCGUAGAUAUUGGGAAGAACACCGGUGGCGAAGGCGGCUCACUGGCUCAUUACUGACGCUCAGGCGCGACAGCGUGGGGAUCAAACAGG